rnacentral:rRNA from 1 species
AGCGAACGCUGGCGGCAGGCCUAACACAUGCAAGUCGAACGAACCUUUCGGGGUUAGUGGCGGACGGGUGAGUAACACGUGGGAACGUGCCUUUAGGUUCGGAAUAACUCAGGGAAACUUGUGCUAAUACCGAAUGUGCCCUUCGGGGGAAAGGUUUAUCGCCUUUAGAGCGGCCCGCGUCUGAUUAGCUAGUUGGUUGAGGUAAUGGCUUACCAAGGCGACGAUCAGUAGCUGGUCUGAGAGGAUGGUCAGCCACAUUGGGACUGAGACACGGCCCAAACUCCUACGGGAGGGAGCAGUGGGGAAUCUUGCGCAAUGGGCGAAAGCCUGACGCAGCCAUGCCGGGUGAAUGAUGAAGGUCUUAGGAUUGGAAAAUUCUUUCACCGGGGACGAUAAUGACGGUACCCGGAGAAGAAGCCCCGGCUAACUUCGUG